rnacentral:rRNA from 1 species
UACGAAGGGGGCAAGCGUUGUUCGGAUUUACUGGGCGUAAAGGGCGCGUAGGCGGCCACCGCAAGUCAGUUGUGAAAGCUCUGGGCUUAACCCAGAAAGGUCAGCUGAUACUGCGGGGCUAGAGUGCAGAAGGGGCAACUGGAAUUCUCGGUGUAGCGGUGAAAUGCGUAGAUAUCGAGAGGAACACCUGCGGCGAAGGCGGGUUGCUGGGCUGACACUGACGCUGAGGCGCGAAAGCUAGGGGAGCGAACGGG